GAUGAAGAACGUAGCGAAAUGCGAUAAGUAAUGUGAAUUGCAGAAUUCAGUGAAUCAUCGAAUCUUUGAACGCAUCUUGCGCUCCUUGGUAUUCUGAGGAGCAUGCCUGUUUGAGUGUCAUUAAAUUCUCAACUACACUGACUUUGAAUUGGUGUGGCUUGGAUUUGGGGGGAAAAUUGUUGUGGGCUUUUUGUAUAGUCUGCUCCCCUGAAAUUGAUUAGCGGUACCUUUGUGGAACUGUCUACAGGUGUGAUAAUUAUCUACAUCUUAGACAUCUGCUGGAAUGCUGCUUUCUAAACCUUACUUGUAUUGACAAUCUUGACCUCAAAUCAGGUAGGACUACCCGCUGAACUUAAGCAUAUCAAUAAACGGAGGA
rnacentral:misc_RNA from 1 species